rnacentral:sRNA from 1 species
GGGUCCAUAACUCAGUGGUAGAGCAUUUGACUGCAGUUCAAGAAGGUCACCAGCUCAAGCCUAGUUAGGCAGA